rnacentral:lncRNA from 1 species
ACUCGCUCUGAAGCGGAUGCCUGCGUUUGGUCCGAGACGCUUCUUUUCAUACCUCUUUCCUGCUUAAAACCAAUUUCUGAGCUCAGUGACCCCUUUGCCCUUCCUGCACCACGUGAAAUUCUUUUGGGCGAAGUGGGUUUAUUCGCUCCGCGGUCCCCAGGCUCGCCCUCUCGACCCCUGGAGGCCGCGCCGGCCCCCGCUCCCGGAGAGGCUCGGUCCUCUCCCUGGUCCUGGGAUUCUAGAGCGCCCGUCCCGCUCCUGAGACCCUCAGGCUCCCAGCCGUUCAGUCGUCGCGUCUCAUCAGGCCGCCUUCAACGGAGAAGAGCUGUAAAUCAGGUCCCAAAGAGGGCGACAGUGGAGAGGCAGUUCACACAGAGACCCCGCAAAGGGGAUACAAGAUUUGGAACCUUGACCUACAGACAAUAUCCUGCUGGCAGAGAAAGGGGACUACUAGUGAAUGGAAUCAGCGAUGCACUUUAUGUUCUUGGCUCCAAAAUCACUGCAGACGGUGACUGCAGCCAUGAAAUUAAAAGACACUUGCUCCUUGAAAGAAAAGCUGUGACCAACCUGCUGCUAAGUCGCUUCAGUCAUGUCCGACUCUGUGUGACCCCAUAGACGGCAGCCCACCAGGCUCCGCCGACCCUGGGAUUCUCCAGGCAAGAACACUGGAGUGGGUAGCCAUUUCCUUCUCCAAUGCAUGAAAGUGAAAAGUGAAAGGGAAGUCGCUCAGUCGUGUCUGACUCUUAGCGACCCCAUGGACUGCAGCCUACCAGGCUCCUCCAUCCAUGGGGUUUUCCAGGCAAGAGUUCUGGAGUGGGGUGUCAUUGCCUUAUGACCAACCUAGACAGCAUAUUAAAACAUGUAGACAUUAAUUUAUUUGCAGACGAAGUUUUAAAUAGUCAAAGCUAUAGUUUUUCCAGUAGUUAUGUAUGGAUGUGAGAGUUGGAUCAUAAGGAAAGCUGAGCACAAAAGAAUUGGUGCUUUUGAACUGUGGUGUUGGAGAAGACUCUUGAGAGUCCCUUGGACUGCACGGAGAUAAAACCACUCAAUCCUAAUGGCAAUCAG